UUUGAUGGCGACCGGCGCACGGGUGAGUAACACGUAUCCAACCUGCCGAUGACUCGGGGAUAGCCUUUCGAAAGAAAGAUUAAUAUCCGAUGGCAUAGUUCUUCCGCAUGGUGGAACUAUUAAAGAAUUUCGGUCAUCGAUGGGGAUGCGUUCCAUUAGGUUGUUGGCGGGGUAACGGCCCACCAAGCCUUCGAUGGAUAGGGGUUCUGAGAGGAAGGCCCCCCACAUUGGAACUGAGACACGGUCCAAACUCCUACGGGAGGCAGCAUG
rnacentral:rRNA from 1 species